GUGCUCACUUCAGCAGCACAUAUACUGAAAUUGGAAUGAUACAGAGAAGAUUGGCAUGGCCCCUCCGCAAGGAUGACAUGCAAAUUCAGGGCCAGCCCCGUGCCUGA
ensembl:snRNA U6 U6 spliceosomal RNA